GUGAGGAAUAUUGGUCAAUGGGCGGAAGCCUGAACCAGCCAUCCCGCGUGGAGGAAGAUGGCCCUAUGGGUUGUAAACUUCUUUUCAAGGGGAAGAAAGUUCGCGACGUGUCGCGAUUUGCCGGUACCUUUGGAAUAAGCAUCGGCUAACUCCGUGCCAGCAGCCGCGGUAAUACGGAGGAUGCGAGCGUUAUCCGGAUUUAUUGGGUUUAAAGGGUGCGUAGGCCGGCCGAUAAGUCAGCGGUGAAAUACCAUGGCCCAACCAUGGAACUGCCGUUGAUACUGUCGGUCUUGAAUAUGGUCAAGGUAGGCGGAAUGUGUAAUGUAGCGGUGAAAUGCUUAGAUAUUACACAGAACACCGAUUGCGAAGGCAGCUUACUGGUCCAUUAUUGACGCUGAGGCACGAAAGCGUGGGGAUCGAACAGGAUUAGAAACCCGGGUAGUCC
rnacentral:rRNA from 1 species